UUAGCAUAAGACAUGGGUAAAGCAAAGUCACAGCCUUAAUUUUAAGGCUUGUUCUCCACUUUGGAGAAGUUUCAAAUCUAUCAGGGCAUGGAAAUAUUAAUAGUUUGGCCCAGCACGGUCAGAAGCAAUAGCGCUACCUGCUUGAGAUGAGGAAGGUGUCCUUCCAAGCAGUCCUAAGGUAGGAAUUGUGACCUUCUCGCCUCUUUCCUGCCACCUCAGCCCAGCACAGAGCCUGGCUUCCAAAAUUAUGGGCCAAGCAACCAGGAGCUGAAGUCAUUGGCUGUUUGGAACCAGGGUUGUGCGGCAUGCUGGAGUUAAGAAAAGGCUGCCUCCUGAGAGGAUGGACUGCAACACCAGUGGGCAAGAACAAACAGAACUCAUCUGCUUUCCCUAAGCACCGAUAAAUAGAAGACAUGGGAUGAGGGUAUCUAACAAAGACCGGAGUCUCAGGGUCACUAAAGAUAAGGCAAAGCAAAUCAAGGCCAAUGAGCCCUGAACAGAAAGCAUGUCGGGAAGGGAAGGCUUCGUACAGCUGACAUCAAUUUGUUUUGAAAUCUGAAGGCAGAGCAAAUUGCAAGCAGCAGCCUGACAUUUUCUGCAAAUAGCAAAGAAGAGAUGAGCCUUGCAAGGAAGAACAGGGCAGGCAAGCAAAGCAGGGUCAAGUGUCUGCCUCUUCUAGAAAGACAGACAGUGCAAGAACCUCUUAUCCAUGG
rnacentral:lncRNA from 1 species